UACGUAGGGGGCGAGCGUUAUCCGGAAUACUGGCGUAAAGCGCACGCAGCGGUUCGCCAAGUUUGGAGUGACAGUUGUCGGCUCAACCGACAAAGGACUUCAAAAACUGGUGAACUUGAGGACGAGAGAGGAACAUGGAACUCCAGGUGUAGUAGUGAAAUGCGUAGAUAUCUGGAAGAACACCAAUGGCGAAGGCAAUGUUCUG
rnacentral:rRNA from 1 species